rnacentral:rRNA from 1 species
UAAAACGUAGGAGGCGAGCGUUAUCCGGAGUUACUGGGCGUAAAGCGCGUGUAGGUGGCUUGUUACGUCUGCUGUGAAAUGUCCCGGCUUAACCGGGACUAGGCGGUAGAUACGGGCAAGCUUGAGGGUGACAGAGGAGCGUAGAAUUCCGGGUGUAGUGGUGAAAUGCGUAGAGAUCCGGAGGAAUACCAGUGGCGCAAGCGGCGCUCUGGGUCGAGCCUGACACUGAGACGCGAAGGCAUGGGGAGCGAACGGGAUUAGAAACCCCGGUAGUCCAUGCAGUAAACGAUGCAGACUGGGUGUGGGUAGCGCAAGCUAUCUGUGCCGAAGCUAACGCGCUAAGUCUGCCGCCUGGGAAGUACGGUCGCAAGACUA